rnacentral:rRNA from 1 species
CUACAGAGGGUGCGAGCGUUAAUCGGAAUUACUGGGCGUAAAGCGCGCGUAGGCGGCUUAUUAAGUCAGAUGUGAAAUCCCCGGGCUCAACCUGGGAACUGCAUCUGAUACUGGUAAGCUAGAGUUUUGGAGAGGGAAGUAGAAUUUCAGGUGUAGCGGUGAAAUGCAUAGAGAUCUGAAGGAAUACCAGUGGCGAAGGCGACUUCCUGGCCAAAAACUGACGCUGAGGUGCGAAAGCGUGGGUAGCAAACGGGAUUAGAAACCCCAGUAGUCC